rnacentral:rRNA from 1 species
UAGGGAAUCUUCCGCAAUGGACGAAAGUCUGACGGAGCAACGCCGCGUGAGUGAAGAAGGAUUUCGGUUCGUAAAACUCUGUUGUUAGGGAAGAAAAAAUGUAUAGUAACUAUAUACAAAAGAGACGGUACCUAACCAGAAAGCCACGGCUAACUACGUGCCAGCAGCCGCGGUAAUACGUAGGUGGCAAGCGUUGUCCGGAAUUAUUGGGCGUAAAGCGCGCGCAGGUGGUUUAGAAAGUCUGAUGUGAAAGCCCACGGCUCAACCGUGGAGGGUCAUUGGAAACUAAUACACUUUAGUGCAGGAGAGAAAAGUGGAAUUCCUAGUGUAGCGGUGAAAUGCGUAGAGAUUAGGAGGAACACCUGUGGCGAAAGCGGCUUUUUGGCCUGCAACUGACACUGAGGCGCGAAAGCGUGGGGAGCAAACAGG